rnacentral:tRNA from 1 species
GGGAAUUUAGCUCAGUUGGUAGAGCAUCUGUUUUGCAAGCAAAAGGUCUUGGGUUCAACUCCCAAAAUUUCCA